rnacentral:rRNA from 1 species
GAUAAGCGCUAGCGGCAGGCUUAACACAUGCAAGUCGAGGGGCAGCAUAGAUUGUAGCAAUACAAUUGGUGGCGACCGGCGCACGGGUGCGUAACGCGUAUGCAACCUACCCGUCACAGGGGGAUAAUCCGGAGAAAUCUGGUCUAAUACCCCAUAACAUAUGGAUCGGCAUCGGUUCAUGUUGAAAUUUUUGGAGGUGACGGAUGGGCAUGCGUAGCAUUAGCUUGUUGGUGAGGUAACGGCUCACCAAGGCGACGAUGCUUAGGGGGACUGAGAGGUUUUCCCCCCACACGGAUACUGAGACACGGACCAGACUCCUACGGGAGGCAGCAGUGAGGAAUAUUGGUCAAUGGGCGCAAGCCUGAACCAGCCAUGCCGCGUGCAGGAUGACGGCUCUAUGAGUUGUAACUGCUUUUGUACGAGGGUAAAGUGGGUUACGUGUAACCUUUUGAAAGUAUCGUACGAAUAAGGAUCGGCUAACUCCGUGCCAGCCGCCGCCGUAA